GACGAACGCUGGCGGCGUGCUUAACACAUGCCAGUCGAACGGAAAGGCCCUGCUUGCAGGGUACUCGAGUGGCGAACGGGUGAGUAACACGUGGGUGAUCUGCCCUGCACUUCGGGAUGAGCCUGGGAAACUGGGUCUAAUACCGGAUAGGAGCCAUUUUUAGUGUGAUGGUUGGAAAGUUUUUUCGGUGUAGGAUGAGCUCGCGGCCUAUCAGCUUGUUGGUGGGGUAAUGGCCUACCAAGGCGGCGACGGGUAGCCGGCCUGAGAGGGUGGACGGCCACAUUGGGACUGAGAUACGGCCCAGACUCCUACGGGAGGCAGCAGUGGGGAAUAUUGCACAAUGGGCGCAAGCCUGAUGCAGCGACGCCGCGUGGGGGAUGACGGCCUUCGGGUUGUAAACUCCUUUCGCUAGGGACGAAGCUUUUUGUGACGGUACCUAGAUAAGAAGCACCGGCUAACUACGUG
rnacentral:rRNA from 1 species